GGGAGAAGCAGGCCUCCUGCUGAGCAGGGAGCCGAUGCGGGGCCGAUCCCAGGACCCUGGGACCAUGACCUGAGCCGAAGGUCACUUAACGACUGAGCCACCCAGGCGCCCCUUCUGCCCUAGAUUCCUGAUCCUUUUCUGGAGGUAGAAUUGGUAAGGGGUCUACAGUAGCCAGUUCAAAAAUAUAAAGAUGAGUUGUCAUUUUCUUAAAAAUAAAGCAAAACCUCUCUCUGCCUCUCUCCCUUAAAAAAAAAAAACAAAAACGAGCUGACAAUGCGCAUGGGACAAGAAGACAAGGCAGUUGCAUCCCCCGCUCCACGACGCCGGAGCUCAGCAUACACACGGGACUGGUCUGCUAAAACAGUACUUUUUACUCUUCUGCGUAUCAUGGAUGCCUUUGAAAAUCCAGUCAAAUGCAUAUCCUCAACACCUGUAUACCCAACAGAAUUCUACUUGUUAGGCUGGACAGACUGCUCCUAAGGUGAGAAAAGGCUCCACAAGCUGACACUUGGGAGAUGUUCCUUCCUCUCCAUCCUCACUGUCCGGACCUGGACUGUUAACUCAUACUUCACAUCCAUCUACUUGCCUCCUCUCUUCUCUAAAUUACUGUGAACCAUCUCUCUAACAUCCCAGUCAAAAUCCUGUUUUUCACUACUUAGACUCAGUAGGAUAAAUAAACCCUUUAGGACAGCAGAGAAGGCCUGUUAGGAGCGGCUUCCUUUUUUUGCCUCCAGUCUGAGCUUCCCCAGAACCUCCUCUGUGUCCACCUUCUGGUCAUUCUUUACGUCACAGCCUGAGACUACCUGUCUGAGAAGCCCUGACAGCGCUCCUCCAAGUCACGGACAACAGCUCCCUCCACCUGCGUAGCUCUGUCAAAGAACUUAUGUUGCAUUUUAAUUGUGUUUGCAUGACUCUCUGUCCAGCAUGGGUCUUUUCAUCUUGUCUGUUUUUAUGCCUGGCAUAUCGCAGGACCCUGGGAAAUACUUGCUGAAAGAAUGAACUGACGCUACAUGCAAAACUGGCACAGAAAACCACAGUGAACAGUGGCGUGUUAAGGGCUAACGUGCAUUUGCAUCCUGCAUCCCUUUUCCCUUGCGGUGUCUGGCCAGAGGGCUAGCUGAGCCAUUUAAAGAUGCGCUGACCAAAUGCUGUGCCAUUUAGGCACAAAUGGAGGGACGGUCCUGAGCACAUGAGCGGAGCCACGGUGGCCUGAGCUCCAGAGCAGGGGAGAGGCCGCGCCGUGGGCCUGGCCUGGAUCUACCCAGAUAUGGGCCUCUCAGUUACCAUGAGCCUUGCUUCCUGCUUUCCCACAUCCCAAUUUAUAUAUGCAGUCUCGGGCUGGGAGGACAAUGCCGGAGGCACAGGCCAGUCCCCCAAAGCCAGGCCCUUCUGCUACUACCAGCGGACCAUGUGAGGAGGCGGACGUCGCAGGCGGUCCUGAACAACGCAGUAAAACGGUCCUGAACAACGCAGUAAAACCCUGACUACCUAGAAUCCUGUGCUUUUCUAGAGAGAGUAAUUCUCAGGCAAGUGGAUACUAACCUUUCAAGUGCCAAUACUUAAAAAAAAUUAGAGUACUAUAUGUUUACAUUAAACACCCUGGGGUAGCUUUUGUUUGCGGACCAGCCUUUUCUGAGCUUUGCCAAGGAAGCUGAGCCCUGGGCGGUAAAGGGACCAAUCACAGCAGGUCUUCAAGUGCCUGUUUCCUGCAGGCAUUCAUUGACCGCCCAGUCUUUAGAGUUGCUCUUUAUUGUUAAAAGUUAAUUUUUACUUACCUUUUCACAGUUACUUUCAGAUCGGAAAGCUGGAGCCUAGCUAGGUGAAAUUUUAUUGUAAUAACAGUGGAAGCCUCUUUAAACAUGCCGGCUCACAGCACAUGUACACAGAGAAACCGACUUUCCUUUUCUAAUGGGCAAAAGCUUCAGCAAACUUCCUGUGUUCCUCAUCAACUAGCUCAGAUGCUUUUAGUGUCUGGUCAGAGCUCACGAGGAGCCAGCACCAGGCAGAUACCGCUCACCGAGGUGCCCCACCUGCCUGGAACCCUCACAGCCGACGUGCAUACUUUGACCGGAAGCUUCAGCACUGAUCUAAAGCUGGGGACAUGGGUGUUCUCAGCCAGCAUCUUGGCACCAGACCUUCUUUCUGAGGGCAGCACACACAAACCUUGUUCCUCUGUCACCAAGUGUGACUUGAACCGAGCCCCUCUCCCCCAGCUCCUUGUGCCCUCACAGUAUUGCCGUUCACGCCCGAGGCCCUCCUCUGGGGCAUCUCCCAACAACUGUGGCCACAGACAAAAUGACUCCUUCCAGGAAUGCUAUCCCGUGUGGCCGAGUUUUUGCUGCCAGGUCUCAUGAUGUGUCCUACUUCUCAUCCAGCCCAAGUCUGGCCGUAACACUGGCCCAGCUAUAAAAGCCAUAGAAUUUACCGUCAUCAUUAAAUAUACACAUUCACUUGAAAUUGCUGUGUUCUCUCCAGGUCUAUCAAAAAAGAUUAAAAUGUACACAGAGUAUGAAGUUUGAAGUUCAUCUUUUCCUCGUUCUCAUUAUAGCUAAACUCAAAAUAGCACCAGUCCCUCAGGAGAAGAGCUGGCUUGGUUGGGGGGGCGGGGUUUCUCUCCCUUCCACCAAUCCCCUGCAGAGACACUUCUUUCAGCUUUGCUCACUAAAUUCAUUCUCCCCACUCUUGCUUUAUGAGAGAUGACCAGUAUGUCCCAGAGAACUUUCUGUGAUGACAGAAAUGUCACAUACAUGGCGGCUACGAAACACUCAAAAUGUGACACCGAGAAAUUGAAAUUUUGUUAACAUAGCCCCAUGUGGCUGGUGGUUGCCAUACCAGGUAGCA